rnacentral:lncRNA from 1 species
AGGUGACCCUUCUGAGCUGUUGGCUCUGAAGAAUUUUAGAAUGCGGGUAAGACACCGUCGCUGGACAAUUUACCACGAGGUACAAGUACUGUUUGC